rnacentral:rRNA from 1 species
GACGAACGCUGGCGGCGUGCUUAACACAUGCAAGUCGAGCGGUAAGGCCCUUUCGGGGGUACGACGAGCGGCGAACGGGUGAGUAACACGUGGGUGACCUGCCCUCAGCUCUGGGAUAAGCCUGGGAAACCGGGUCUAAUACUGGAUAUGACUCCAUGACGCAUGUUGUGGGGUGGAAAGCCUUGUGCGGCUGAGGAUGGGCCUGCGGCCUAUCAGCUUGUUGGUGGGGGAUGGCCUACCAAGGCGACGACGGGUAGCCGGCCUGAGAGGGCGACCGGCCACACUGGGACUGAGACACGGCCCAGACUCCUACGGGAGGCAGCAGUGGGGAAUCUUGCGCAAUGGGCGAAAGCCUGACGCAGCGACGCCGCGUGGGGA